UACGUAGGGGGCUAGCGUUGUCCGGAAUCAUUGGGCGUAAAGCGCGCGUAGGCGGCCAGAUAAGUCCGGUGUGAAAGUCACAGGCUCAACCUGUGAAUGCCGCUGGAAACUGUCUGGCUAGAGUCCGGAAGGGGCGAGUGGAAUUCCUGGUGUAGCGGUGAAAUGCGCAGAUAUCAGGAGGGACACCAAUGGCGAAGGCAGCUCGCUGGAACGGUACUGACGCUGAGGCGCGAAAGCGUGGGGAGCGAACAGG
rnacentral:rRNA from 1 species